rnacentral:rRNA from 1 species
GACGAACGCUGGCGGCGUGCUUAUCACAUGCGAGUCGAACGGAAAGGCCCUGCUUUUGUGGGGUGCUCGAGUGGCGAACGGGUGAGUAACACGUGAGUAACCUGCCCUUGACUUUGGGAUAACUUCAGGAAACUGGGGCUAAUACCGGAUAGGAGCUCCUGCUGCAUGGUGGGGGUUGGAAAGUUUCGGCGGUUGGGGAUGGACUCGCGGCUUAUCAGCUUGUUGGUGGGGUAGUGGCUUACCAAGGCUUUGACGGGUAGCCGGCCUGAGAGGGUGACCGGCCACAUUGGGACUGAGAUACGGCCCAGACUCCUACGGGAGGCAGCAGUGGGGAAUAUUGCACAAUGGGCGGAAGCCUGAUGCAGCAACGCCGCGUGCGGGAUGACGGCCUUCGGGUUGUAAACCGCUUUCGCCUGUGACGAAGCGUGAGUGACGGUAAUGGGUAAAGAAGCACCGGCUAACUACGUG